GACGAACGCUGGCGGCGUGCUUAACACAUGCAAGUCGAACGGAAAGGCCCUGCUUUUGUGGGGUGCUCGAGUGGCGAACGGGUGAGUAACACGUGAGUAACCUGCCCUUGACUUUGGGAUAACUUCAGGAAACUGGGGCUAAUACCGGAUAGGAGCUCCUGCUGCAUGGUGGGGGUUGGAAAGUUUCGGCGGUUGGGGAUGGACUCGCGGCUUAUCAGCUUGUUGGUGGGGUAGUGGCUUACCAAGGCUUUGACGGGUAGCCGGCCUGAGAGGGUGACCGGCCACAUGGGAACGGGGAUGCGGCCCAGACUCCUACGGGAGGAAGCAGUGGGGAAUAUGGCACAAUGGGCGGAGGCCUGAUGCAGCAACGCCGCGUGCGGGAUGACGGCCUUCGGGUUGGAAACCGCUUUCGCCUGUGACGAAGCGUGAGGGACGGUAAUGGGUAAAGAAGCACCGGCGAACUACGG
rnacentral:rRNA from 1 species